rnacentral:rRNA from 1 species
UACGGAGGGGGGCUAGCGUUGUUCGGAAUUACUGGGCGUAAAGCGCGCGUAGGCGGACCUGCAAGUCGGGGGGUGAAAGCCCGAGGCUCAACCUCGGAACUGCCUUCGAUACUGCGGGUCUCGAGUCCGGGAGAGGUGAGUGGAAUUCCUAGUGUAGAGGUGAAAUUCGUAGAUAUUCGGAAGAACACCAGUGGCGAAGGCGGCUCACUGGCCCGGUACUGACGCUGAGGUGCGAAAGCGUGGGGAGCAAACAGGG